rnacentral:lncRNA from 1 species
GCUCCCAGUCUGAUGGGGGAAUAUUGGCUCUGUCCUCAGGAGUCCGGUCUAAGGAGGGUGUCUCAGCCCCACUCCUGAGGGUAAGGAUUCCAUGGCCACAGUCUGGACAGUGGGCCAGUCACGCUUGACAGUGGGCAUGUUGCCAGCAGGACCCUUUGGGAUGUGUCUGAGCCUGGAGAUGAGCCCACCAGCCCCAGCACUGACCUCCAAGCCAAGCAUGUCCCUGCCUUUGCUGUGGUCUCCAGUGCCAUGAACUCAGCCGCUGUCCUGGGCACCAGCCCAUCUUCCCCGACCUUCACCUUCACCCUCGGAUGGCAUUACUCGCGGGACUGCAGCAGCAUCAAGGCUGGCCGCCGCUCCUCCUACCUGCUGGCCAUCAGCACGGAGCGCUCCAAGUCCUGCGAUGAUGGACUCAACACCUUC